rnacentral:rRNA from 1 species
GAGGACCGGUACCGUUCGGGUACCGAGCGUACACAGGUGCUGCAUGGCUGUCGUCAGCUCGUGUCGUGAGAUGUUGGGUUAAGUCCCGCAACGAGCGCAACCCUACGCUGAGUUACCAGCACGUAAAGGUGGGGACUCUCAGUGGACUGCCGGCGACAAGCCGGAGGAGGGUGGGGACGACGUCAAGUCAUCAUGGCCCUUAUGUCCUGGGCUACACACGUGCUACAAUGGCCGGUACAGAGCGCAGCGAGGCCGCGAGGCGGAGCGAAUCGCUUAAAGCCGGUCCCAGUACGGAUUGGAGUCUGCAACUCGACUGCAUGAAGCCGGAAUCGCUAGUAAUCGUGGAUCAGCCAAGCCGCGGUGAAUACGUUCCCGGGCCUU